rnacentral:rRNA from 1 species
AGAGUUUGAUCCUGGCUCAGGAUGAACGCUAGCGGCAGGCCUAAUACAUGCAAGUCGAACGGUAACAUUGGUGCUUACACCAGAUGACGAGUGGCGCACGGGUGCGUAACGCGUAUGCAAUCUACCUUUUACUAGAGUAUAGCCCAGAGAAAUUUGGAUUAAUCCUCUAUAAUAUCUUUUAAUUUCAUGAUUUUAAGAUUAAAGUUUUAACGGUAAAAGAUGAGCAUGCGUCCUAUUAGUUUGUAGGUGAGGUAACGGCUCACCUAGACUACGAUAGGUAGGGGCCCUGAGAGGGAGAUCCCCCACACUGGUACUGAGACACGGACCAGACUCCUACGGGAGGCAGCAGUAAGGAAUAUUGGACAAUGGACGAAAGUCUGAUCCAGCCAUGCCGCGUGCAGGAUGAAAGCCCUAUGGGUUGUAAACUGCUUUUAUACAGGAAGAAACACUCCGACGUGUCGGAGCUUGACGGUACUGUAAGAAUAAGGAUCGGCUAACUCCGUGCCAGCAGCCGCGGUAAUA